ACGAACGCUGGCGGCAUGCCUAACACAUGCAAGUCGCACGAGACCUUCGGGUCUAGUGGCGCACGGGUGCGUAACGCGUGGGAAUCUGCCCUUAGGUUCGGAAUAACUCCCCGAAAGGGGUGCUAAUACCGGAUAAUGUCUUCGGACCAAAGAUUUAUCGCCUUUGGAUGGGCCCGCGUUGGAUUAGCUAGUUGGUAGGGUAAAAGCCUACCAAGGCGACGAUCCAUAGCUGGUCUGAGAGGAUGAUCAGCCACACUGGGACUGAGACACGGCCCAGACUCCUACGGGAGGCAGCAGUGGGGAAUAUUGGACAAUGGGCGAAAGCCUGAUCCAGCAAUGCCGCGUGAGUGAUGAAGGCCUUAGGGUUGUAAAGCUCUUUUACCCGGGAUGAUAAUGACAGUACCGGGAGAAUAAGCUCCGGCUAACUCCGUG
rnacentral:rRNA from 1 species